rnacentral:rRNA from 1 species
UACUAACUCUGGCGGCGUGCUUAACACAUGCAAGUCGAACGGAAAGGCCCUGCUUUUGUGGGGUGCUCGAGUGGCGAACGGGUGAGUAACACGUGAGUAACCUGCCCUUGACUUUGGGAUAACUUCAGGAAACUGGGGCUAAUACCGGAUAGGAGCUCCUGCUGCAUGGUGGGGGUUGGAAAGUUUCGGCGGUUGGGGAUGGACUCGCGGCUUAUCAGCUUGUUGGUGGGGUAGUGGCUUACCAAGGCUUUGACGGGUAGCCGGCCUGAGAGGGUGACCGGCCACAUUGGGACUGAGAGACGGCCCAGACUCCUACGGGAGGCAGCAGUGGGGAAUAUUGCACAAUGGGCGGAAGCCUGAGGCAGCAACGCCGCGUGCGGGAUGACGGCCUUCGGGUUGUAAACCGCUUUCGCCUGUGACGAAGCGUGAGUGACGGUAAUGGGUAAAGAAGCACCGGCUAACUACGUG